AGUCAGUUUAGUGGUACAAAUAAAGCAAAUAGGAAAGGGACGAAGCGGAGCCACACUGUCGCCACUGGAGAUCCUGAUUUUGGUCCAGUGACGUCAGCGAACACUGCAAGAGCUCUUGCAUUUAACAGCCACGCUCCUGUUGAAGAUCAUGAUACAUCUACUCCUGUUGCUA